rnacentral:misc_RNA from 1 species
GAUGAAGAACGCAGCGAAAUGCGAUAAGUAGUGUGAAUUGCAGAAUUCAGUGAAUCAUCGAAUCUUUGAACGCACAUUGCGCCCUUUGGUAUUCCAAAGGGCAUGCCUGUUCGAGCGUCAUUUGUACCCUCAAGCUUUGCUUGGUGUUGGGCGUCUUGUCUCUAGCUUUGCUGGAGACUCGCCUUAAAGUAAUUGGCAGCCGGCCUACUGGUUUCGGAGCGCAGCACAAGUCGCACUCUCUAUCAGCAAAGGUCUAGCAUCCAUUAAACCUUUUUUUCAACUUUUGACCUCGGAUCAGGUAGGGAUACCCGCUGAACUUAAGCAUAUCAAUAAGCGGAGGA